UACGUAGGGGGCAAGCGUUAUUCGGAAUUAUUGGGCGUAAAGGGCGCGUAGGCGGCUUGGCAAGUGGAAGGUGAAAUCCCUCGGCUCAACUGAGGAACUGCCUUCCAGACUGCUUUGCUUGAGUCCGGGAGAGGUGAGUGGAAUUCCCAGUGUAGCGGUGAAAUGCGUAGAUAUUGGGAGGAACACCAGUGGCGAAGGCGGCUCACUGGACCGGAACUGACGCUGAGGCGCGAAAGCGUGGGGAGCAAACGGG
rnacentral:rRNA from 1 species